rnacentral:rRNA from 1 species
CCUACGGGAGGCAGCAGUAAGGAAUUUUGCACAAUGGGCGAAAGCCUGAUGCAGCAACGCCGCGUGAACGAUGAAGUUUUUAGGAAUGUAAAGUUCUGUCGUAUGGGAAGAGAUCCUUCGAAUGUUAAUACCAUUCGUUAAUGACGGUACCAUACAAGAAAGCACCGGCUAACUUCGUGCCAGCAGCCGCGGUAAUACGAGGGGUGCUAGCGUUGUCCGGAUUUACUGGGCGUAAAGGGUACGUAGGCGUUUUAAUAAGUUGUAUGUUAAAUAUCUUAGCUUAACUAAGAAGAUGCAUCCAAAACUGUUAAAAUAGAGUUUGAGAGAGGAACGCAGAAUUCAUGGUGGAGCGGUGACAUGCGUAGAUAUCAUGAGGAAAGUCAAAUGCGAAGGCAGCCUUCUGGCUCAAAACUGACGCUGAGGUACGAAAGCGUGGGGAGCGAACAGGAUUAGAUACCCUGGUAGUCCACGCCGUAAACGAUGAGUAUUUGGUGCUGGGGGAUUCGACCCCUUCAGUGCCGUAGCUAACGCGAUAAAUACUCCGCCUGGGGACUACGAUCGCAAGAUUGAAACUCAAAUGAAUUGACGG